AUAACACAACAGCUACUCACGUCACUCGACAUGUAAAUGGAUCGAUCGUGCUGGCAAUUCUACUUCGAGGCAAAGGAGGUUCUGGCCCUGCCUAUGCCUGCGGCUACUGUAAUGAUCGAGCGACCUUGGAGCUCAUGUUCGAAGGCGAUUUGGUGUCAAAAGAUGCUGAUGUCUUUUGAUGAGCCAACCGACUCACUUGUUGUCCGACAAAAGUUGAGGCGGGGGCAAAUAUUGAUGCUGAGUGUUUCCCAGGCAAAUUGGACUGUUAAUGAUAUGAUUUUUUUUCCAUGAUU